UUGAGUUAUUAAAUUUAAUUCGGCAGAGGCAAAGAGCUGAAGAACAUUCACAAGUUGAACCAGUUGAAGAAUAUUUCAAUGAUGAUGAUUAAAGAUAGAGGUUUAAUAUGUAUGUAACGAGAAUGCGCAGAAAGAAAAAAAGGUGAAAAUGGAAAAAAUAAAUCUUUACUAUUUACAUUAUUUAAUUAUACGUAAUAUGAACUGAAUACAUCUUUACAACUUAUAGUAUAAAUAAAACGGUAAAACAACAAAA